UAGGGAAUCUUCGGCAAUGGACGAAAGUCUGACCGAGCAACGCCGCGUGAGUGAAGAAGGUUUUCGGAUCGUAAAACUCUGUUGUUAGAGAAGAACAAGGACGUUAGUAACUGAACGUCCCCUGACGGUAUCUAACCAGAAAGCCACGGCUAACUACGUGCCAGCAGCCGCGGUAAUACGUAGGUGGCAAGCGUUGUCCGGAUUUAUUGGGCGUAAAGCGAGCGCAGGCGGUUUCUUAAGUCUGAUGUGAAAGCCCCCGGCUCAACCGGGGAGGGUCAUUGGAAACUGGGAGACUUGAGUGAAGAAGAGGAGAGUGGAAUUCCAUGUGUAGCGGUGAAAUGCGUAGAUAUAUGGAGGAACACCAGUGGCGAAGGCGGCUCUCUGGUCUGUAACUGACGCUGAGGCUCGAAAGCGUGGGGAGCAAACAGG
rnacentral:rRNA from 2 species